GGUAUUGCACAAAAGUAGAAUUAAGAAAGCCAGGAUAACAGAAAAGGCGCGGCUUGACCUAGUUCAAUCAGCACAUCCUGGCUUAGUCUGUUGCACAUAUGCUAAGCCAGGAUGAGAGCGUGCAGCUUUGUCAAGCCAAGUGUAGAUAGUUGGGAUAAGUGCACAUUCACGGCAUUCUGAAACAGACCACGGGAUCGAUCACAGAAUCAAUGAUGCAAAAAUGGAUAAAACCCGUACGGCAUACUUCUCGCCAACUGAGCAACAGCUUCUAAUGGAAACAUAUGAAGAGAACAAGCGUGUCUGGCCAAAAAAGGACCUGGCAGCAAGUACAAGAACAUUUUGCAGGCUGCAUUGAAAAAAAAGGCUCAUAUAUCUGGCACGGGGGGGUGGUCCUCCAACCCAAGACUUGACCACAGCAGAGGAGCUGGCCCUGGAGUUGAAUAAAGGGAAGCCAGUGAUGGAAGGGACACAGUGAGGGACAGCCACUGACUCUGGCCCAGCAAGAGAGACUGGCCUCUUCAUACAAGGCUUGGCACGUCCUGUCAAAACUAUCAACACAAGUUCUAUUGAAUAUGGCAGAGGGAAGGCACAUCUGCCGAUGAUGAGAUCGUGUCACUGGACUCCAGAAGGCUUGGGGUGUCAUGUCAAUUUUGUGUAAAGAAGAUAUUUUGAAGAUUGCUGGUAAUCAAACAGUUGGUGGCUCCUACUGACUUCCAUAGUAUUUUUUUUCCCCCUCUUUUAUGUUCAACAUAAGAAAGCAACUCAUACAGGUUUGGAUAGAACUUCAAAAGAAGAAUCAGAUGAUCCAGAACAUAUAAAGGUAUUUUGUUGUUUACUAAAAAUAUUUAUAAGGUUGUUGCCAUCCUCAAGAGUAGAACCAUUUUCAAAAUAUAUUUUAUUCCUUUAUUCAAGUUGAAAGAGACUAACAAAUGGAACAUUUAUUUAGAAUAAGCCUAUAUAUACACUACAUAUUGACCUCGUCAUGGACUUAAAUGAAACCACAUUUCCAGCUUCAUCAGCCAUUUCUUAUAAUCUCAACAAAUGCAAUAAUAUAUGCAUUCAUCAAAACUCUAACAGCAAUAUGAACAGUCUUCAUAACAACACUAAAAUAGGGAUACUUAGAUGAAUGACAGUAUAUGUCGUAUUUUAAUGCAUGAUAAUUACAAUGAUGCAACAUUUGCAGAAGACCAUGGAGUGACUGUAAAACAUUAAUUUCUAGAAGGAUUGACAGCAGAACUAACAGAUAAAUCACUAAGAUUAAUCUUAGCCUGGUUGUUAGCCUGCUCCGGAGCAGGCUAGCUGCAAAGUGUAAAUCUCCAUAGUAACUUAAUGUAGAUUAAUUUAGCCUCCCUUCAUGCAACCGAGUCAGGGCUAAAUUCAGCCAGGAUAACUGGAAAAUCCCAGC